CCUACGGGAGGCAGCAGUGGGGAAUAUUGCACAAUGGGGGCAACUCUGAUGCAGCGACGCAGCGUGCGGGAAGAAGUAUUUCGGUACGUAAAGCUCUAUCAGCAGGGAAGAAAAUGACGGUACCUGACUAAGAAGCCCCGGCUAACUACGUGCCAGCAGCCGCGGUAAUACGUAGGGGGCAAGCGUUAUCCGGAUUUACUGGGUGUAAAGGGAGCGUAGACGGCAGCGCAAGUCUGGAGUGAAGUCCCAUGGCUUAACCAUGGAACUGCAUUGGAAACUGGUAAGCUGGAGUGCAGGCGAGGUGAGUGGAAUUCCUGGUGUAGCGGUGGAAUGCGUAGAUAUUAGGAAGAACACCAGAGGCGAAGGCGACUCACUGGACUGUAACUGACGCUGAGGCUCGAAAGCGUGGGGAGCGAACAGGAUUAGAUACCCGGGUAGUC
rnacentral:rRNA from 1 species